rnacentral:rRNA from 1 species
UACGUAGGGUGCGAGCGUUAAUCGGAAUUACUGGGCGUAAAGCGUGCGCAGGCGGCUAUUUAAGCUUGCUGUGAAAGCCCCGGGCUCAACCUGGGAACUGCAGUGAGGACUGGAUGGCUGGAGUGUGGCAGAGGGGGGUGGAAUUCCACGUGUAGCAGUGAAAUGCGUAGAGAUGUGGAGGAACACCGAUGGCGAAGGCAGCCCCCUGGGCUAACACUGACGCUCAGGCACGAAAGCGUGGGGAGCAAACAGG